rnacentral:sRNA from 1 species
AAUUGACCACGCAACGGUGCAUGAAGCGUGUAGACGUCGCGCACCCGCGUUUCCCCCUCCUCGUCGAGGGUGACGCGCAGCAAGCCGAUCUCGGCCACGGCCAAAUCGACCUGAAUCGGCUGCGGCCGCAAUGCA